AUAGCGUAUAUUAAAGUUGUUGCAGUUAAAAAGCUCGUAGUUGAACCUUGGGCCUGGCUGGCCGGUCCGCCUCACCGCGUGCACUGGUCCGGCCGGGCCUUUCCUUCUGGGGAACCGCAUGCCCUUCACUGGGUGUGUGGGGGAACCAGGACUUUUACUUUGAAAAAAUUAGAGUGUUCAAAGCAGGCUUUUGCUCGGAUACAUUAGCAUGGAAUAAUAAAAUAGGACGUGCGGUUCUAUUUUGUUGGUUUCUAGAGUCGCCGUAAUGAUUAAUAGGGAUAGUCGGGGGCAUCAGUAUUCAAUUGUCAGAGGUGAAAUUCUUGGAUUUAUUGAAGACUAACUACUG
rnacentral:rRNA from 1 species